rnacentral:rRNA from 1 species
AAUGGGGGAAACCCUGAUCCAGCCAUGCCGCGUGAGUGAUGGAGGCCCUAGGGUCGUAAAGCUCUUUCGCCAGGGAUGAUAAUGACAGUACCUGGUAAAGAAACCCCGGCUAACUCCGUGCCAGCAGCCGCGGUAAUACGGAGGGGGUUAGCGUUGUUCGGAAUUACUGGGCGUAAAGCGCACGUAGGCGGACUAGUCAGUCAGAGGUGAAAUCCCGGGGCUCAACCCCGGAACUGCCUUUGAUACUGCUAGUCUUGAGUUCGAGAGAGGUGAGUGGAAUUCCGAGUGUAGAGGUGAAAUUCGUAGAUAUUCGGAGGAACACCAGUGGCGAAGGCGGCUCACUGGCUCGAUACUGACGCUGAGGUGCGAAAGCGUGGGAGCAAACAGGAUU